rnacentral:rRNA from 1 species
AUACGGAGGGUGCGAGCGUUACUCGGAGUCACUGGGCGUAAAGCGUCCGUAGGCGGUCGGGUAAGUCGGGUGUGAAAGCUCCGGGCUCAACCUGGGAAGUGCACCCGAUACUGCUCGACUCGAGUGCGGGAGAGGAUGGCGGAAUUCCUGGUGUAGCGGUGAAAUGCGUAGAGAUCGGGAGGAACACCAGUGGCGAAGGCGGCCAUCUGGCCCGCAACUGACGCUGAGGGACGAAAGCGUGGGGAGCAAACAGGAUUAGAAACCCUAGUAGUCC